GACGAACGCUGGCGGCGUGCUUAACACAUGCAAGUCGAACGAAGAGCGAUGGAAGCUUGCUUCUAUCAAUCUUAGUGGCGAACGGGUGAGUAACGCGUAAUCAACCUGCUCUUCAGAGGGGGACAACAGUUGGAAACGACUGCUAAUACCGCAUACGAUCUAACCUCGGCAUCGAGGAUAGAUGAAAGGUGGCCUCUACAUGUAAGCUAUCACUGAAGGAGGGGAUUGCGUCUGAUUAGCUAGUUGGAGGGGUAACGGCCCACCAAGGCGAUGAUCAGUAGCCGGUCUGAGAGGAUGAACGGCCACAUUGGGACUGAGACACGGCCCAGACUCCUACGGGAGGCAGCAGUGGGGAAUCUUCCGCAAUGGACGAAAGUCUGACGGAGCAACGCCGCGUGAGUGAUGACGGCCUUCGGGUUGUAAAGCUCUGUUAAUCGGGACGAAAGGCCUUCUUGCGAAUAGUUAGAAGGAUUGACGGUACCGGAAUAGAAAGCCACGGCUAACUACGUG
rnacentral:rRNA from 1 species